UGCCUUUAAGUGUUGCCCUUUCAUUUUUUCCCAUAGUGACUGGGGUGUCAAAUAAGGCAUAAAUUGACACUUGUGGCUGUUUUGUGAAGUGAGUUUUAAGUGACUCCUUGAAUAAACAGCUGCAUGGACACAC
ensembl:snoRNA small nucleolar RNA SNORA13